GGUUUGAGUUGCCAAACAAACUGUAUGGAUCAAAUGUAAAAAGUACCUCCUUACCACUGUGAAGCAUGAUGGUUGAACCCUGGCUUCUUCCAAAGUCAUAGAGCACGUAGCCUGUGCCGUGUGUCCCUUACAACCCUGGAGUGAUGAUUCAAAGGAAGAAAACCUCUACUCUUGAGCUCUUGACGCAGAACCGAAAUGGUCUGUUGUUGAGCAGACACAAGCGAAUAAUGUUGGCUGCUGCUGCCAUAGGACCUAAAAGCCUCUGAAUAUCUAAAACAGAAAGCUCUUGACCUAGCCUGAUGUCUUUUACAGUAAUCAGACUUGAAAUCACAUGUGCAGGAGACUGAUGUGCCUGCAUCGUGGUCGAAUCCCACACUACCUCUAAAAAAAUGAUUCUCUGUUUGGGAGAAAGAACACUUUUCUUGGGGUUUAACCUGAGUCCCAGAUGCAAGUACUGACUGUACAAGCCUGCCUCUCUCUCUGGUAGGUGUACAUCUUCUAUGGCCCCUUUUGCCAGGUGGGAGCACAGUUCUUAGCUGAGAAAUUUCUUGUCUCCUAAUUGGUGUACUUUCGUUGCCACAACACCUGCCGUCCGAGGUAGACGGGAAGCAAAAUUAAUUCUGUAACCUUUUCUCAUAAAAUUCAGGACCUACUGAGAGACGUUGGGCAGAAGUUGCCACGCUGCUCUGGGGAUGCUAUCAGAUGGUGUGGGUUGUCUGCUUGGUUGCCUGGAGGGCUAAAUCUAUGGCUCGGUAAAGCUUUUUUACUGCCUAGCAUGCUCCUCUCCCAUACACAUCACACAUAUCGGGUGAGAGUCAUCCGCAAUAAUAUAGCAGGGAUAAGGUGACACACAACCUAACAUGACCCUGACAUGUUGACAGAUAUAACUUCUGACUUUUUUUCACAGACAUACAAGACAAACGCGCUCAACAGACAAAGAAGACAAAGAAGCUGUCGACGUGCAUUUCUGGCGUCUAUUUAUGGACUCUGUGACGCACUACGCUACGUCACGACAUCCAUACGUUCAACCAAUCAGAAUACCACAUAUAGAAAUGUGCUUCAGACACCGGCUCAUGUGGAAGCGUCCCCCAUAGCGUCAACCAAGUGUGCUGCACAAGUCCUGAAAAGUGAAGCCAAAGCAUCUCGAUCGCCCCCAGGUGCUUGGUCCCAGUAUAAGUUAUAAACUCCGCCCUCUCCAUAUAAUGUAAUAGGAGACAACAACACAGCUUAUCUGGGUGCUGCAGUACUCCUACACAUGCAAUAUGUUUGGCCCACCUCACUGGAAACUAAAUGGAAUAUUAGCAUCUACCGGAAAACAAAAUUCCAUAUCCCUCAUGUUCUCCGGAAUCAGUUAUCUGCACUCAGCCUUACAAAGGUUCACCGUAGUCAACCGGAUCCGGGCCGUAUCCAGGUGAGACCAAGGACCUGCACCUUGACACGACCACAACGCAGCCCUGAAGUAUCAGCAGAGAUUGAGUCAACUAGAUCAUCACUUGUGAAGGCCUCAUCGACACGACAGCCACGACACAGUUCCUCAACAACCGUCCAUACCGGCGUGAUGAAUACGAUCCUCAAUUGGAUGGAACUGAAAUAAAUACUUUUAAUGUUGCGAUCCUAUUGGACUUAUGAUAGCAACCUGAAUUGUAACAAAGCACUGUUGGCCAGAGGAGAACUGGCACCCCGACUAAGCCUGGUUUCUCCCAAGGUUUUUUUCUCCAUUUUAACACCAAUUUGCCACUUGUCUGCCACCUGAUGUCACCUGAUGGAGUUUGGGUUCCUUGCCGCUGUCGCCUCUGGCUUGCUUAGUUGGGGACACUUGACUUGACAUUUUGAUAUUCAACAGUGCUUUUGAUCUGCCUGCAUUGACACUAUUCUUUAAGAGCUGCUGUGCAGCCAAACAAUGUACCAGUUAUCAAUGUAAAGCUGCUUUGACACAAUCUACAUUGUAAAAAGCGCUAUAUAAAUAAAGGUGACUUGACUUGA